rnacentral:rRNA from 1 species
GACGAACGCUGGCGGCGUGCUUAACACAUGCAAGUCGAACGAAGUGGCGAACGGGUGAGUAACGCGUAGUAAACCUGCCCUUCAGGGGGGGUCAACACUGGGAAACGACUGCUAAUCCCGCAUACUGAAUGACGGGAUUGCGUCUGAUUAGCUAGUUGGAGGGGUAACGGCCCACAAAGGCGAUGGUCAGUAGCCGGUCUGAGAGGAUGAACAGCCACACGGGGACUGAGACACGGCCCAGACGCCUACGGGAGGCAGCAGUAGGGAAUAUUCGGCAAUGGACGCAAGUCUGACCGAGCAACGCCGCGUGAGUGAAGAAGGUUUUCGGAUCGUAAAGCUCUUUUGUCAGAGAAGCGGUAUCUAACCAGAAAGCAACGGCUAACUACGUGCCAGCAGCCGCGGUAAUAC